rnacentral:rRNA from 1 species
GGAUUAGAUACCCUGGUAGUCCCAUGCUGUAAACGAUGAUUACUAGGGUGUGGGAAGAUUGACCCUUUCCGUGCCGCAGUUAACACAAUAAGUAAUCCACCUGGGGAGUACGACCGCAAGGUUGAAACUCAAAGGAAUUGACGGGGGCCCGCACAAGCAGUGGAGUAUGUGGUUUAAUUCGAAGCAACGCGAAGAACCUUACCAGGUCUUGACAUCCAACGACCGCCUAAGAGAUUAGGCUUUCCUUCGGGACGUUGAGACAGGUGGUGCAUGGUUGUCGUCAGCUCGUGUCGUGAGAUGUUGGGUUAAGUCCCGCAACGAGCGCAACCCUUAUUACUAGUUACUACGCAAGAGGACUCUAGUGAGACUGCCGUUGACAAAACGGAGGAAGGUGGGGAUGACGUCAAAUCAUCAUGCCCUUUAUGACCUGGGCUACACACGUACUACAAUGGCUAUUAACAGAGAGAAGCGAGACCGCAAGGUGGAGCAAACCUCAGAAAAAUAGUCUCAGUCCGGAUUGGGGGCUGCAACCCGCCCCCAUGAAGCCGGAAUUGCUAGUAAUCGCGGAUCAGCAUGCCGCGGUGAAUACGUUCCCGGGCCUUGUACACACCGCCCGUCACACCAUGAGAGCCGGGGGGACCCGAAGUCGGUAGUCUAACCGCAAGGAGGACGCCGCCGAAGGUAAAACUGGUGAUUGGGGUGAAGUCGUAACAAGGUAACCGUAAAGGGCGAAUUCGGAGCCUGCUUUG